rnacentral:rRNA from 1 species
GAUGAACGCUAGCGGCAGGCCUAAUACAUGCAAGUCGAACGGUGUCUUCGGACAUAGUGGCGCACGGGUGUGUAACACGUAUGCAACCUACCUUACAUUGGGGGAUAGCCUUUCGAAAGGGAGAUUAAUACCGCAUAAGACAGUAGCUGGGCAUCCAGCAGCUGUUAAAGAUUUAUCGAUGUAAGCUGGGCAUGCGUCCAAUUAGCUAGUUGGUGAGGUAACGGCUCACCAAGGCAAUGAUUGGUAGGGGAACUGAGAGGUCAAUCCCCCACACUGGCACUGAGAUACGGGCCAGACUCCUACGGGAGGCAGCAGUAGGGAAUAUUGGGCAAUGGACGCAAGUCUGACCCAGCCAUGCCGCGUGCAGGAUGAAGGCGUUAUGCGUUGUAAACUGCUUCUAUACAGGAAGAAACGACUCUUGCGAGAGGCAUUGACGGUACUGUAUGAAUAAGCACCGGCUAACUCCGUGCCAGCCGCCGCCGUAAUAC